GUGAAAUUGUUGAAAGGGAAGCGCUUGCAACCAGACCUGCCUGCAGUUGCUCAUCCGUGGCUUUUGCCCGGUGCACUCUUCUGCUGUCAGGCCAGCAUCAGUUCGGGCGGUCGGAUAAAGGCUUCGGGAAUGUAGCUCCUCUCGGGGAGUGUUAUAGCCCGUUGCGAAAUGCGGCCAGCCUGGACUGAGGUCCGCGCUUCGGCUAGGAUGCUGGCGUAAUGGUUGUAAGCGGCCCGUCUUGAAACACGGACCAAGGAGUCUAACAUCUGUGCGAGUGUUUGGGUGUUAAACCCGUACGCGUAAUGAAAGUGAACGGAGGCGGGAACCCCUCGGGGUGCACCGUCGACCGAUCCUGAUGUCUUCGGAUGGAUUUGAGUAAGAGCAUAGCUGUUGGGACCCGAAAGAUGGUGAACUAUGCCUGAAUAGGGUGAAGCCAGAGGAAACUCUGGUGGAGGCUCGCAGCGGUUCUGACGUGCAAAUCGAUCGUCAAAUUUGGGCAUAGGGGCGAAAGACUAAUCGAACUAUCUAGUAGCUGGUUCCUGCCGAAGUUUCCCUCAGGAUAGCAGUAACGUUUUCAGUUUUAUGAGGUAAAGCGAAUGAUUAGAGGCCUGGGGGUUGAAACAACCUUCACCUAUUCUCAAACUUUAAAUAUGUAAGAAGUCCUUGUUGCUCAGUUGAACGUGGACAUUUGAAUGUAUCGUUACUAGUGGGCCAUUUUUGGUAAGCAGAACUGGCGAUGCGGGAUGAACCGAACGCGGAGUUAAGGUGCCGGAAUGCACGCUCAUCAGACACCACAAAAGGUGUUGGUUCAUCU
rnacentral:rRNA from 1 species